rnacentral:rRNA from 1 species
UACGGAGGGUGCAAGCGUUGUCCGGAAUUAUUGGGCGUAAAGGGCUCGUAGGCGGUUUGUCGCGUCGGGAGUGAAAUCCACUGGCUUAACUGGUGGCUUGCUUUCGAUACGGGCAGACUGGAGGUAUGCAGGGGAGAACGGAAUUCCUGGUGUAGCGGUGAAAUGCGCAGAUAUCAGGAGGAACACCGGUGGCGAAGGCGGGUCUCUGGGCAACAACUGACGCUGAGGAGCGAAAGCGUGGGGAGCGAACAGG